rnacentral:rRNA from 1 species
AACGAACGCUGGCGGCAGGCUUAACACAUGCAAGUCGAACGCACCUUUCGGGGUGAGUGGCAGACGGGUGAGUAACGCGUGGGAAUCUACCCUUCUCUACGGGAUAGCUCCGGGAAAAUGGAAUUAAUACCGUAUACGUCCUGAGGGAGAAAGAUUUAUCGGGGAAGGAUGAGCCCGCGUUGGAUUAGCUAGUUGGUGGGGUAAAGGCCUACCAAGGCGACGAUCCAUAGCUGGUCUAAGAGGAUGAUCAGCCACAUUGGGACUGAGACACGGCCCAAACUCCUACGGGAGGCAGCAGUGGGGAAUAUUGGACAAUGGGCGCAAGCCUGAUCCAGCCAUGCCGCGUGAGUGAUGAAGGCCCUAGGGUUGUAAAGCUCUUUCAGUGGGGACGAUAAUGACGGUACCCACAGAAGAAGCCCCGGCUAACUUCGUG